AGCUGCAUUUUGUCGAGAUGGGGAAUGGCCCAGUGGUGUGCCUCUGCCAUGGCUUCCCUGAAUCCUGGUUCUCCUGGAGGUACCAGAUCCCUGCUUUGGCUGAGGCUGGCUUCCGGGUCCUGGCUUUGGAUAUGAAAGGCUACGGAGAUUCCACUGCUCCCCUAGACAUAGAAGAAUAUUCCCAGGAAGAGAUAUGCAAGGU